GCCAAAAAUCGGGGGCAAAGCCUGGCGGCGCUGCCGCAGGCAAAACCCGCAACCUCCUCCGAUGAGUCCAUUUACGUUUUUCGUUUUCUAUUUUGUGCGAUUUUUUCACCAUUGUAUUCACUGUUCUGUUUUCUACAAGUUGACCAAAGAAAAACUCCCAGCCACGAAGGUAAGCUGGUAGAGCAGCCGCACCCGGAAAACCCCACCGUUAGUAGGUUU
rnacentral:lncRNA from 1 species